GCAGAGCCCUUCUACCAAGAAAAAAAGUCAGGUGAAGGUCUGCUGCAUCUGACUGCAGCCAGCAGUGGUAGACAGAGACCUGCCUAAAGAAGGCAAAGGACAUCACUGUGUGAUUCCACAGGAAAUGAAGAGCUUGUGUGGGUGGACUCCUCUCUCCUGGGGCAAGAUAAACAAAACUAUGGCAAGGCAGGUCUGAAAAGAAACUGUGAGUUAAGAGACUGAUUCACCACAACGGCUCUUGCUGAAGCUGCACACGGUGGGGAGCUUUAGUGCUAUCUAUCUGACCCUGCUGACAGCACAUGUUUGCCCCAUU